AUGUAUAUUUUUUUUCUCUAAAAUCUAGGUGAGAGUCCUUAAAGCCAUGAAUCCAAGCACACAUGUCCAAGAAGACACAGGAGGUUGAAAGCAACGUGGAUCUCCAUCUAAAACUAUCAUUCAAAAUUCAUUCAGUAUUUCCUGAAGGAACUGAAAUGUCUAACUCACCAAACAAAGACCUUCUACCUCACAAGUCACGCUGUUUGGGCUUGGACGCUGUAGGUUAAAACUUCCAGGUUGUCGAAGAGAAUAACAGAUUUGAAUCAACUCAAGUUCUGUGUCUUGUCUUUGUAAUCCCGGCAAGCACUGUUUAUCCCACAUCUAUUAUUUAAGAGUGUGUCAGGACAUACGGCCAAAGACAGAACUCCAAGGAUCUUUCAUGGCUCCAAACCACCAUAAGUAUCC
rnacentral:lncRNA from 1 species